UAAGGAAUAUUGGUCAAUGGACGCAAGUCUGAACCAGCCAUGCCGCGUGAAGGAUGAAGGUCCUCUGGAUUGUAAACUUCUUUUAUCUGGGACGAAAACGGGAUUUUUAUCUCAAUUGACGGUACCAGAGGAAUAAGCAUCGGCUAACUUCGUGCCAGCAGCCGCGGUAAUACGAAGGAUGCAAGCGUUAUCCGGAAUUAUUGGGGUUAAAGGGUGCGUAGGCGGACUAAUAAGUCAGUGGUGAAAGCCUGCAGCUUAACUGCAGAAUUGCCAUUGAUACUGUUAGUCUUGAGUACAGUUGAGGUAGGCGGAAUGUGUCAUGUAGCGGUGAAAUGCUUAGAUAUGACACAGAACACCGAUUGCGAAGGCAGCUUGCUAAGCUGUAACUGACGCUGAGGCACGAAAGCGUGGGGAGCAAACA
rnacentral:rRNA from 1 species